ensembl:snoRNA SNORD89 small nucleolar RNA, C/D box 89
GCUGAGGAAUGAUGACAAUAAAAGGGCCGAAUUGCAGUGUGUCCUAUAGCAGUUUGCUCUCUCUGGGCACACGAUGACAAAAUCUCCUGAAGCGAAUCUCUGGUCUGACCUCAGU